AAUAUUUGACAAUGGGGGCAACCCUGCUCCAGCCAGGCCGCGUGUGUGAAGAAGGCCUUCGGUUUGUAAAGCACUUUAAGUUGGGAGGAAGGGCUUUAGUUUAAUACUCUGAUGUUUCGACGUUACCAACAGAAUAAGCACCGGCAAAUUCUGUGCCAGCAGCCGCGGUAAUACAGAGGGUGCAAGCUUUAAUCGGAAUUACUGGGCGUAAAGCGCGCGUAGGUGGUUCAGUAAGAUUGGUGUGAAAUCCCCGGGCUUAACCUGGGAACUGCUUUCAUAACUGCUGAGCUAGAGUACGGUAGAGGGUAGUGGAAUUUCCUGUGUAGCGGUGAAAUGCGUAGAUAUAGGAAGGAACACCAGUGGCGAAGGCGACUACCUGGACUGAUACUGACACUGAGGUGCGAAAGCGUGGGGAGCAAACA
rnacentral:rRNA from 1 species